rnacentral:rRNA from 1 species
AACGAACGCUGGCGGCAGGCUUAACACAUGCAAGUCGAACGGGCGUAGCAAUACGUCAGUGGCAGACGGGUGAGUAACACGUGGGAACCUUCCUAGGGGUACGGAACAACUCAGGGAAACUUGAGCUAAUACCGUAUACGUCCGUGAGGAGAAAGAUUUAUCGCCCUUAGACGGGCCCGCGUCGGAUUAGGUAGUUGGUGGGGUAACGGCCUACCAAGCCUACGAUCCGUAGCUGAUCUGAGAGGAUGANCAGCCACACUGGGACUGAGACACGGCCCAGACUCCUACGGGAGGCAGCAGUGGGGAAUCUUGGACAAUGGGCGCAAGCCUGAUCCAGCCAUGCCGCGUGAGUGAAGAAGGCCUUAGGGUUGUAAAGCUCUUUUACCAGGGACGAUAAUGACGGUACCUGGAGAAUAA